rnacentral:rRNA from 1 species
UACGGAAGGGGCAAGCGUUGUUCGGAAUCAUUGGGCGUAAAGGGCGCGUAGGUGGUCCUGUGUGUCUACCGUGAAAGCGUACGGCUCAACCGUAUUUUGUCGGUAGAAACUGCAGGACUUGAGGCUGGGAGGGGCUGGUGGAAUUCCCUGUGUAGCGGUGAAAUGCGUAGAGAUGGGGGAGAACACUCGUGGCGAAGGCGGCCAGCUAGACCAGUUCUGACACUGAGGCGCGACAGCGUGGGGAGCAAACAGG